rnacentral:rRNA from 1 species
UAGUUAUUAUCUACCAGAAGCGUAAUAAGAUAAUUUUAAAUUUUAACGGUGGCACAGAAUCGGAAGCCCCGACUGUUUACUAAAAACACAGAUCGCUGCAAUGAUUAAUAUCAUAGUAUAGCGGUCGAAAUUUGCCCGAUGCCAUUAAUAUAAGAGAGGUUAUGGGAAACUGUGACUAAUCGAAAGUCUGGUUAAUAGCGGUCUUAACUAUGAGGAUCCUAAGGUAGCAAAAUAAAUUGGCCAUUAAAUGUGGUCCGGUAUCAAUAAUUUAACGAUGGCUUCACUGUCUCUACAACUUGCUCAGUGAAAUUGAAUUACC